UUUCCGUAGGUGAACCUGCGGAAGGAUCAUUAUUGUAUAACCGAGGUGCGAGGGCCGUCGCUGACCCGAAAGGUCGUGCACGCCCGAGUGCCCUCACACACAUCCAUCUCACCCCUAUGUGCACCACCGCGUGGGUCCCCCUUUGGCUUGUUCGGAGGGGGGCUUACGUUUUCACACAAACUUUGUAUGCAGUGUAGAAUGUAUUUUUUGUUCUUGCGAUCACGCAAUCAAUACAACUCUCAACAACGGAUCUCUUGGCUCUC
rnacentral:misc_RNA from 1 species